UACAGAGGGUGCGAGCGUUAAUCGGAAUUACUGGGCGUAAAGGGCGCGUAGGUGGAUAGGUGAGUGAGAUGUGAAAGACCCGAGCUUAACUUGGGGAUGUCAUCUCAUACUGCCUGUCUAGAGUAUGGGAGAGGGAAGUGGAAUUUCUGGUGUAGCGGUGAAAUGCGUAGAUAUCAGAAGGAACAUCCGUGGCGAAGGCGACUUCCUGGCCCAAUACUGACACUGAGGCGCGAAAGCGUGGGGAGCAAACAGG
rnacentral:rRNA from 1 species